rnacentral:misc_RNA from 1 species
AAGUCGUAACAAGGUCUCCGUUGGUGAACCAGCGGAGGGAUCAUUGAUGGAAUAAACGCCCUCACAGGCGCUACCCAUAAACCCUCUGUGAAUACUACCUAUAAAUGUUGCCUCGGCAUUGGUUGGCCUCUUUCGAGGUCCCUUCUUUAGGGAAGGAGCAGACCGGCCGGUGGCCCUAUAAACUCUUUGUUUUCGUAAUAUCAUCCGAGUAAAACAACUAAAUGAAUCAAAA